UAUUGUUCCAGGUAUUAUAGUGUUCUGUGGGUAUUGUUCCAGGUAUUACAGUGUUCUGUGGGUAUUGUUCCAGGUAUUACAGUGUUCUGUGGGUAUUGUUCCAGGUAUUACAGUGUUCUGUGGGUAUUGUUCCAGGUAUUAUAGUGUUCUGUGGGUAUUGUUCCAGGUAUUAUAGUGUUCUGUGGGUAUUGUUCCAGGUAUUACAGUGUGUUCUGUGGGUAUUGUUCCAGGUAUUACAGUGUGUUCUGUGGGUAUUGUUCCAGGUAUUAUAGUGUUCUGUGGGUAUUGUUCCAGGUAUUAUAGUGUUCUGUGGGUAUUGUUCCAGGUAUUAUAGUGUUCUGUGGGUAUUGUUCCAGGUAUUAUAGUGUUCUGUGGGUAUUGUUCCAGGUAUUAUAGUGUUCUGUGGGUAUUGUUCCAGGUAUUAUAGUGUUCUGUGGGUAUUGUUCCAGGUAUUAUAGUGUGUUCUGUGGGUAUUGUUCCAGGUAUUACAGUGUUCUGUGGGUAUUGUUCCAGGUAUUAUAGUGUUCUGUAAGUAUUGUUCCAGG
rnacentral:lncRNA from 1 species